rnacentral:rRNA from 1 species
AACUGUAUGCGGUGGAUCACUCGGCUCGUGAAUUGAUGAAGAGUGCCGUCAACUGUGCGAAUGUAAUAAAAUAUGUGCAUUACUAUUCAUUUGAAGCAAAUACAUCUUAAAGGCUCCGUCAACUUUAAUUCUUUUGCCAGUUCAGGUUUGUUGAAUUAAGACUCU